CAGCCGCCGCGGGAAUACAGAGGGUGCGAGCGUUAAUCGGAUUUACUGGGCGUAAAGCGUGCGUAGGCGGCUUCUUAAGUCGGAUGUGAAAUCCCUGAGCUUAACUUAGGAAUUGCAUUCGAUACUGGGAAGCUAGAGUAUGGGAGAGGAUGGUAGAAUUCCAGGUGUAGCGGUGAAAUGCGUAGAGAUCUGGAGGAAUACCGAUGGCGAAGGCAGCCAUCUGGCCUAAUACUGACGCUGAGGUACAAAAGCAUGGGGAGCAAACAGGAUUAGAUACCCCAGUAGUCCCUGUCUCUUAUAC
rnacentral:rRNA from 1 species